GACGAACGCUGGCGGCGUGCUUAACACAUGCAAGUCGAACGGAAAGGCCCUGCUUUUGUGGGGUGCUCGAGUGGCGAACGGGUGAGUAACACGUGAGUAACCUGCCCUUGACUUUGGGAUAACUUCAGGAAACUGGGGCUAAUACCGGAUAGGAGCUCCUGCUGCAUGGUGGGGGUUGGAAAGUUUCGGCGGUUGGGGAUGGACUCGCGGCUUAUCAGCUUGUUGGUGGGGUAGUGGCUUACCAAGGCUUUGAAGGGUAGCCGGCCUGCGAGGGUGACCGGCCACAUUGGGACUGGGAUACGGCCCAGACUCCUACGGGAGGCAGCAGUGGGGAAUAUUGCACAAUGGGCGGAAGCCUGAUGCAGCAACGCCGCGUGCGGGAUGACGGCCUUCGGGUUGUAAACCGCUUUCGCCUGUGACGAAGCGUGAGUGACGGUAAUGGGUAAAGAAGCACCGGCUAACUACGUGCCAGCAGCCGCCGUAA
rnacentral:rRNA from 1 species